UACAGAGGGGGCUAGCGUUGUUCGGAAUUACUGGGCGUAAAGCGCGCGUAGGCGGUGCUGCAAGUUAGAAGUGAAAUCCCGGGGCUUAACCUCGGAACUGCUUUUAAGACUGCAGUGCUUGAUGAUGGUAGGGGGUGGUGGAAUUCCUAGUGUAGAGGUGAAAUUCGUAGAUAUUAGGAGGAACACCAGAGGCGAAGGCGGCCACCUGGACCAUUUAUGACGCUAAAGCGCGAAAGCGUGGGGAGCAAACAGG
rnacentral:rRNA from 1 species